UCCGGUUGAUCCUGCCAGAGGUUACUGCUAUCGGUGUUCGCCUAAGCCAUGCGAGUCGAAUGUAGCAAUACAUGGCGAACUGCUCAGUAACACGUGGACAACCUGCCCUUAGGUUGGGUAUAAACCCGGGAAACUGGGUAUAAUACCCGAUAGGUCUCGAUUGCUGGAAUGCAUCGAGAUUUAAAGCUCCGGCGCCUAAGGAUGGGUCUGCGGCCUAUCAGGUAGUAGUGGGUGUAGCGUACCUACUAGCCUACGACGGGUACGGGUUGUGAGAGCAAGAGCCCGGAGAUGGAUUCUGAGACACGAAUCCAGGCCCUACGGGGUGCAGCAGGCGCGAAAACCUUACAAUGCUGGCAACAGCGAUAAGGGAACCUCGAGUGCCAGGUUACAAAUCUGGCUGUCGUGAUGCCUAAAAAGCAUUGCAUAGCAAGGGCCGGGCAAGACCGGUGCCAGCCGCCGCGGUAACACCGGCGGCUCGAGUGGUAACCGUUAUUAUUGGGUCUAAAGGGUCUGUAGCCGGCCGGAUAAGUCUCUUGAGAAAUCUGGCAGCUUAACUGUCAGGCUUUCAGGAGAUACUGUCUGGCUCGAGGCCGGGAGAGGUGAGAGGUACUUCAGGGGUAGGGGUGAAAUCUUGUAAUCCUUGAAGGACCACCAGUGGCGAAGGCGUCUCACCAGAACGGACCUGACGGCAAGGGACGAAAGCUAGGGGCACGAAUCGGAUUAGAUACCCGGGUAGUCCUAGCCGUAAACGAUACUCGCUAGGUGUCGGCCACGGUGCGACCGUUGUCGGUGCCGUAGGGAAGCCGUGAAGCGAGCCACCUGGGAAGUACGGCCGCAAGGCUGAAACUUAAAGGAAUUGGCGGGGGAGCACCACAACGGGUGGAGCUUGCGGUUUAAUUGGAUUCAACGCCGGAAAUCUUACCGGGACCGACAGCAAUAUGAAGGCCAGGCUGAAGACUUUGCCGGAUUAGCUGAGAGGUGGUGCAUGGCCGUCGUCAGUUCGUACUGUGAAGCAUCCUGUUAAGUCAGGUAACGAGCGAGACCC
rnacentral:rRNA from 1 species